GUCGGGGCCACAGAAGGCAGGACUCAGGGAGACUCCAAAAUGGCCUGGGCCCCUCUGCUCCUCACCCUCCUGGCUCAGUGCACAGGGUCCUGGGCCCAGUCUGGGCUGACUCAGCCGCCCUCGGUGUCGGGGUCCCCGGGCCAGAGGGUCACCAUCCCCUGCACUGGAAGCAGCUCCAACAUUGGGGCUUACUUUGUGAACUGGUACCAGCAGCUCCCAGGAUCGGCCCCCAGACUCCUCAUCUAUGAUGAUAGUGACAGAGCCUCGGGGGUCCCGGACCGAUUCUCUGGCUCCAUGUCUGGCACUUCCAGCUCCCUGACAAUCACUGGGCUGCAGGCUGAGGACGAGGCCGACUACUACUGCUCAGCGUGCGACGACAGCUUAAAUGGUCUCACAGUGCUUCAGGCCUGUGGGGAAGGGGGACCAAAACCUUCUGCGCAGCCCCGUCCUCUGCCACGCGAGGGGCUCCCGGGGGCCUGGGAGCUGCUCCUGCCUCAGCCUGACAGUCUGGCGGCCACACUGGCUCCGAUCCCACCCAGACCUGCCCCCGACGCCACGGGCAGCAACGACCUGUAG